GAGGAUUGGCACAGAUGUUAGCUCAGGGCUAAUCUUCCUCAGCAAAAAAAAAAGAAAAAAGAAAGAUGGAAAUAGACCUCAAGGUAGAACACGAGAACUUUGUUUAACGUUCUCAUAGCUACUUUUCAGACCUUUUCAUACUGCUGUUAUCUGGAAUUAUUAUGAGGAAGGAGGCACUGUAAUCAUCUCAACUUGGGGCCUUUACACUGGGCCUCAGUUUCCCCAUCCGCAAAACAAAACAUUGUCCUAAUUGGUGCUCCCAGACUUGGCUGCUAUCAGAGCUGCCUGGGGAACUGGGGUGCCGAUUUGGGGCCACUCCCCAGAGAUUCGGAGGGAGGGAGGUGGGCCCAGGGAUCCCUCUGUGUCCUGACCAACGUUCCAUGGCGAUUCUUCUAGCAAGGGCAGAGCUGUAAAACCCGGGUUGAAGGACCAUCAUCACGGGGUACCAACCAUCCUGGUUUGCUCAGGACUGAGAGGUUUCCUGGAAUGUGGGACUUUCAGUGCUAAAACCAGGAAAGUUCCAGAUAAACCGAGACACGUUGGUGAUGUUAACUGCACCCGAUGACCGCCCGGGGUCUUCUGGCUGGAUCUUGCCGUGAAUCUGCGAUGACAAUCACACAAAAUGAACGCUUCUCCCUGGGGGCAGCUGGCUCUGCGAGGUCUCGUUUCUAAGGAAUCUGAGAUGAGACGAGAAGCUGUCCUAAUAUGUGGUGGGGUGAGGUCUCCUGACCAGCGCCCAGGCUGAAGGCCAUGGGGAAACGCUCAGCGUUGGACACCUUCAAUUCCAGCACACCACCGGCCAUCCGGACCCCGCGGCCGUCUCCGAGGAGCUCUCGGUAAUCACAAAGUGGGUCAGGAUCCACAGCUUCUCCUGCUCGUGACACAACAAACUUGCCACUUGCCAAGCGCCAGGAAGCGGCAGUGGUCGUGAGGAUGCUCUCGGAGAAGAGGAAGGUUGGAAUCCGAGAAGAGGAGGCAGAAAAUGAGGGGGCUGCACAGAACCCCUCACCGCUGCUCCUGUCUGAUUCCCCUCGGCCGGCCACGUGUGUGAC
rnacentral:lncRNA from 1 species